GGAGCAGGCGAGACGAUCGCGGCAUUUACGUGCUGAGGAAAGUCCGAGCUUCAAAGAGCAAGGUGCCUCCGAAAUGGAGGGCGGAGUGAUCCGACGGAAAGUGCAGCAGAGAGGAGACCGCCGACGACCCCUCGGGGUCGGGCAAGGGUGAAACGGUGGUGUAAGAGACCACCAGAGGCAUGAGUAAUCAUGUCUGCUUGGUAAACCCCACCUGAAGCAAGGUCAAAUAGGCAGGGAGGUGUUGCUCGCACCGCAUGACCUGCGGGUAGACCGCUUGGGCAAAAGGAAACUUUUGCUGUAGAUGGAUGAUCGUCGCCCAAUUGGGUUACAGAACUCGGCUUAUUGCCUGCUACGGCG
rnacentral:RNase_P_RNA from 1 species